AAUAUUGGACAAAGUGGGCAACUCUGAUCCAGACAUACCGCGUGUGUUAAGAAGGUCUUCGGUGUGUAAAGCACUUUAAGAUGGGAGGAAGGGCUUUAGGUUAAUACUCUGACGUUUUGAAGUUACCAACAGAAUAAGCACCGGCAAACUCUGUGCCAGCAGCCUCGGUAAUACAGAGGGUGCAAGCGUUAAUCGGAAUUACUGGGCGUAAAGCGCGCGUAGGUGGUUCAGUAAGAUGGGUGUGAAAUACCCGGGCUUAACCUGGCAACUGCUUUCAUAACUGCUGAGCUAGAGUACGGUAGAGGGUAGUGGGAUUUCCUGUGUAGCGGUGAAAUGCGUAGAUAUAGGAAGGAACACCAGUGGCGAAGGCGACUACCUGGACUGAUACUGACACUGAGGUGCGAAAGCGUGGGGAGCAAAC
rnacentral:rRNA from 1 species